CACAGGUUAAUAAUAUAUUGGAGACCUUCUCAAUAUCUCACUAUGGGACGUGACACAAAAGCAACUAAUUGUAAGUGAGAACAAAUAUUACAAAAUAAAAAAACUGCUUUAAAAAUUAAAAAUGAACGUGAAAAACUAAUGAAAUUUUUGUGACUACUUAUUUUUAGAAAGUGUAGCAAUAUCUGGUUUAAUUUGUGAUAACUGGAUACGGAGGUCCGCUUCUACAUUAAGAGGGUUUCGGUAUUUUGUUUUACUAGCUGUAAAGGCUGAAAAUUCUGUCUCACAUAGAUAAGUGGUAGCAAAGGGUAGGAGUAUUGUUAUUGCUUUUUGGCUCAAAUCUUAAAAACUUCUAUUUUUUAAAUUUAGCCAAAAUUCAAUGUAAGUAUUGCUACUGAAGGUGGAUUUCAAUGUUAAAUCUGAAGAUCGACACACUACCCAUUCAUGGUCUUUUAACAACAUCUCUCGAUCUGUAGAGAAAUUUAUUAAAUGAAAUUUUCAGCUGUUUGAGGUGUUCAGAAAUCUCGUUGAUGAUGCUAAUGAGAACCGGCACUUCGUUUUCUUCCAAAAAGGCCUGCAUUAUUAGAAAACACUCACACUCCCUUUUAAAAAUGCACUCUGCCCAAUAGUCAAGUUUUCUUUUCAAUGUACAUACUUUGGAACUCGCAUCAAAAAUGGUCAAGUUCUUCCUUGUAAAGAUAGACUUAAGUCAUACAAUUUUUGAACAAAUUACGCACUGGGGCUAACUUUCAUUUGUUUCUAUGAACCCCAUCUUCAAAUAACUUUCAUCGUAUUUACGUUUUUUCGAGUUUAUGAAGUCACCCAUACUUGGCAGUAGUGUAGAAGUAGGGAGGGCUAUUAUUAUGAACUCCAUCUUCGUCAAUUAUGCUUCCUUCCUUUAUAGAACAAGAUGACUUUGUAGCAGGCGUCUUAUUAAUAGACCCACUUUUCAACCAAUGGUCCAUGUUGAAAAAAAAACAAACAUAUGUAUGCAUAGAAAAAAUUAAUUCUUAACGUGGUAAUACGUCUUAACACGUAAGAUGUCCCUUACAGACUGAAAGUAGAAUUUAAUUUACUUGGCAACAAUUUUUGUAAUUUGCAAAGUAUCCCUCUAGUAUGACGAAGGCCUAAAAUAUAUUUUUUCUCUUCACCAAAUUAUUCGGUAGUCAGAUCAGGUAUUUUGUUUUUUUUACCAUUUAACGAUACCAAUAUAGUCACUUCGAAACUUCAAUUUUGUUCUAUACUUUUUAUUUCUCAUUUCAUUUUGACGUUAAAUUUUGAACUUUGAUGAUGACUAUUUUGAUCAUUAAUUAGUAUUGCUAUUGUUCC